GACGAACGCUGGCGGCGUGCUUAACACAUGCAAGUCGAACGGUGAAGCGCCUUCCUUUUUGGUGGGUGUGGAUGAGUGGCGAACGGGUGAGUAACACGUGAGUAACCUGCCCCCUUCUUCUGGAUAACCGCAUGAAAGUGUGGCUAAUACGGGAUAUUCUGGGUCUGUCGCAUGAUGGGUCUGGGAAAGAUAUUGUUUCGGUGGGGGAUGGGCUCGCGGCCUAUCAGCUUGUUGGUGGGGUGAUGGCCUACCAAGGCGGUGACGGGUAGCCGGCCUGAGAGGGUGGACGGUCACACUGGGACUGAGACACGGCCCAGACUCCGACGGGAGGCAGCAGUGGGGAAUAUUGCACAAUGGGCGCAAGCCUGAUGCAGCGACGCCGCGUGAGGGAUGGAGGCCUUCGGGUUGUGAACCUCUUUCGCCAGUGAAGCAGGCCUGCCUCGUUUGUGGGUGGGUUGACGGUAGCUGGAGAAGAAGCGCCGGCUAACUACGUG
rnacentral:rRNA from 1 species